AGACAUAAAAAAUCAUGAACCAAAAAACAUCAACACUGCUUAAAAAUGUUUCUAUCUAACGUUCUUUUAAUUGAAAAACCCCAAUAACAGCCAAGAAUAUCUGAACGGAAUCAAAAUCAGGCUUGCUCUAUAUCAACUCUGAAAAGUUUCCUCUUCGAUAAUAAUAAUAAUUUCUAAGCUUCCUUUAUUAGCAAAAGCAAAAUACCUAAUUCUGAUUAAAGCAAGAGAAGGGGAUGGAGAAGGAACUACACUGAGGGAGAGAACUGAGAGAAACUGUAUAAUCAAAUAAAGGCUAAAAGACUUAAAUUCGUGAGAAUCGCAUAGUAAGGCGAUGUUUGCAGCGCAGAAUGGGAUGUUUUCAAAGAAGAAGAGUUAACUAGGUCUACAUGGAUAAGAGACUAUUGAAACGUUAAUUCGAGUAUCCGGAAGACCCCCUACUUUAAAUCUAAUUGUCUAGCCAUAAAAAAAACGUUCUAUUCUACAAAAUUUAGCAAAAUUCGAACGCCAAAAGCCGAGUUAUAUCAAAAUCUUAGCCCUCCCAUGAUGAGGCUGGGGAAAUCAAUCGAUGUUAAUGACGCUUCACUGGAAUAGCUGGCACAACGAUCUCGGAGGGCAGACGUCAAGACAAACUUCAUUGCCUGGUCGCCUAAUGGCCAUAAUUAUUUUUACUCAUCUUAUCAGCCCGAGUUGUCUGAAUGGUGUGCAUGUAUCUGUGUGUGUUUGUGUGUGUGUGUCCGUGUCGAUGUCAAAAAGCGCACCACCCGGUUCCGCAAAGGUGGCCAUCGGUCCCACAUUUUGUAGGCGUCUGACAUCGUUGUAAAUGAGUAUUUUUAGGCGCUCGCUUGGCGUUUAAUUCCGUAUUUCUUCAAUUUCUCUAAGGUAGACACCGCACAGUGCACGUGUGGUCAUGAUUUAUGGCCAACAAUGUACGUCCAUUAGAGAAGGCUUUAAGCCGAGGCGUUCGCAAGCAAAUACGGUCAAGAAGAAAUAUCCAUGUUCAGAUUUAAUUAAUGAAUCGCUUCAAACAACGAGCCACAACUCAGGCACAUGACGCCAAGUACUGUUAUAUGAUUAUUUAAUGUGACAGUAAUUUCUAUUAUUAUUUUUGUUAUAUAAUACAAAUUUAAAUAUGUCAUUAUAUUGAAAGA